UUACUGUACCUGUCUCCAUAG
rnacentral:miRNA from 1 species